GAUGAAGAACGUAGCGAAAUGCGAUACUUGGUGUGAAUUGCAGAAUCCCGUGAACCAUCGAGUCUUUGAACGCAAGUUGCGCCCGAAGCCAUUAGGCCGAGGGCACGCCUGCCUGGGUGUCACACGUCGUUGCCCCCCCAUCUACUCCUUCGGGAUUGCGGGGGGCGGAUGAUGGCCUCCCGUGCGCCUCGUCGCGCGGUUGGCAUAAAUGCCAAGUCCUCGGCGACGCACGCCACGACAAUCGGUGGUUGCGAAACCUCGGUUGCCCGUCGUGUGCGGUCGUCGCGCAUCGAGGGCUCGAAAAAAUUGCCGGGCUCCGGCUCGGCUUUCAACGCGACCCCAGGUCAGGCGGGGUUACCCGCUGAAUUUAAGCAUAUCAAUAAGCGGAGGA
rnacentral:misc_RNA from 1 species